GACGAACGCUGGCGGCGUGCUUAACACAUGCAAGUCGAACGGAAAGGCCCUGCUUUUGUGGGGUGCUCGAGUGGCGAAAGGGUGGGUAACACGUGAGUAACCUGCCCUUGACUUUGGGAUAACUUCAGGAAACUGGGGCUAAUACCGGAUAGGAGCUCCUGCUGCAUGGUGGGGGUUGGAAAGUUUCGGCGGUUGGGGAUGGACUCGCGGCUUAUCAGCUUGUUGGUGGGGUAGUGGCUUACCAAGGCUUUGACGGGUAGCCGGCCUGAGAGGGUGACCGGACACAUUGGGACGGAGACACCGCCCAGACUCCGACGGGAGGCAGGAGUGGGGAAUAGUGCCCAAGGGGCGGAAGCCUGAUGCAGCAACGCCGGGUGCGGGAUGACGGCCUUCGGGUUGUAAACCGCUUUCGCCUGUGACGAAGCGUGAGUGACGGUAAUGGGUAAAGAAGCACCGGCUAACUACGUG
rnacentral:rRNA from 1 species